UCUCCUUGUGAAGAGAGAUUGUACAAGAGC
rnacentral:piRNA from 1 species